GGACUGUUGAAGAGUCCCAUAAUAGAACGAAACUGCCGUCCGGUGC
rnacentral:hammerhead_ribozyme from 1 species